AUGGCUGUGUGCCUCCUCUUCCUCCUCAUACUUGUUCUGUCCGUCAGCCACAUGAUGCACGGAGACGGGUCAGGAGCAGUUGCUGCCCCCAGCCUCGUCAUUGUGAAGCUGCGGGGUCACGGUCCCGACGACAAGACCUCUGUGGCCGUGCAGAGACACGACCUCUCCUUCGCCGGCUUCACAAACGGGAGGGGCCAUUGGCAAGCCUUCCCAGGCUGUGAGCACCUCUUCCCUGUGUCCAAGACGCUCCCGUUCGGCAACAGCUACAGCGAGCUCAUUGGCGGCCUCGCCAACCUGCCCGGCGUGCCGCUAGGGCGGGAGGCGAUGGUGGAGACCUCCCGGUUGCUCUCCGCCUACCACCCGGGCGCCGACGUCGAGCCUGUCAAGCGGGCGCUGGCGGAGAUGCCGGUGAUGAUAAACCAGGUCCAGCGGCUGGAGCCCAUCCGCAAGACCGUCCUUGAAGGAUGGGUGACCGGUGCCCGCGUCGCCCCGGAGCACCUGCCCUACAUCGAGCACUAGGACACCAUGUCUUACGAGAUCAUCCGCUCCAACCGCACACGCAAGUGGGAUGGGCCCUUCACCAAGAUGCUGGAGACUCAGGCCAACAUCGGCAGCUUGGAGGAGGCGCUCGCUGUGGUCGGACUGCUGCGGAAUGCCGACUUCGAGCAAGUGCUCAAGGCUCACGCCACCCCGAUCAACCUAGAAUGA
rnacentral:rRNA from 1 species